GCAAAACAGAUAUAUAUCCGUAGACUAUAGUUAAGUUUUAACGUAGAAGGUCAUAGAAGAGACGCUUAAAUAAAAAUAUUACAGACUAAAUAGACAAGUUUGCGUACUGUUACAAUAUUAUUAGCUUCAGGAAGCAAAGACCUUAUGCAUUGAAAUUUCCAUGGAAUAAAUGGAGGAUAUUUUAAGCAGCAGCCACAGUCUCGGCAGGUUUAGCUUCUGCUUCAGCCGCUGCAGGUGCUGCCGGGGCGUUGUCUUCCCAGUAGGCAGUCUUCUUCCCAGUUUUUGAAACAGUUUGGAAAACUACAUCCGGCGCUACAUUGCCUUUCACAGUCACCUUUUGUGCAUCAAUAUCAAUGUCAAAUGUCUCGACUCCUUCCAGUUUUCCCAAGACCCUUUUGACGGCCCCAACACAGCCUUGACAUGACAUGGCAACCUUGAGGACAGUAGUCUGAGACAUGGUUACAG
rnacentral:misc_RNA from 1 species